UAUUUCAAAACGGAUUCAUUUUUGAUAGAAAUAUGUCAGCCAACGAAACGUUCAUUUCGAAAGAUAUUUAUAACACAAAUGAGCAUCACGGCGGAAACUGUUCAAUUGUAUUUAAGGGUAAAUCGUGCUGUGAGCGAUAUUAUAUCUUUGAAUCGAAUUGUCAAUGCGCUAUCCCAAAACCUGUUCAAAAAUGGUAUCACAAGAGCAGUUAUUGCUAUCCUUAUAUUAAAAAGGAAAAUGUUAACGGACGUUUGUUUAUUUAUCUAUGUAUGAGAUGCUACUGUUAUGAGAAACACUCAUCUUGAAUGAAUGUUUGAUAUGAGGUAAACAAAAUCAUCUUAAAUGGAUUGUUCGAUUAUCGAUUGUGGUUGCGUCUCAGAAAAAAGAAGAAGACUAUAAAUUAUCGUAUUAUUAUUGACAUUUAAACGGUUUGGAAAAUGUUGAACAUGUCUGAAGUUAAAAACGACAAAUGUGCGUGUCUAAGUAGAAAAUUUGAUUGUAAGAUAAUGACAAAUUUAUUUAAAAAUCCUUCCCAAUAGUACAACCACUAAGUUGGUUGGAUAAGUGUUUUGCUAUCUUCAGUUGCAUGUGUACUGUUUGUAUAUUGGUGUUUUUGUCUUCAAAUGUUUCCUUCAGUAAAAGUGUUGUUUGAACUUA